rnacentral:rRNA from 1 species
CUACGGGAGGCAGCAGUGGGGAUAUGCACAUGGCGCAGCUGAUGCAGCGACGCGCGUGGGGGAUGACGGCUUCGGGUGUAAACCUCUUCAGCACAGACGAGCGCAAGUGACGGUAUGUGCAGAAGAAGCACCGGCCCACUACGUGCCAGCAGCCGCGGUAAUACGUAGGGUGCGAGCGUGUCCGGAAUUACUGGGCGUAAAGAGCUCGUAGGUGGUUUGUCGCGUUGUUCGUGAAAACCGGGGGCUUAACCCUCGGCGUGCGGGCGAUACGGGCAGACUGGAGUACUGCAGGGGAGACUGGAAUUCCUGGUGUAGCGGUGGAAUGCGCAGAUAUCAGGAGGAACACCGGUGGCGAAGGCGGGUCUCUGGGCAGUAACUGACGCUGAGGAGCGAAAGCGUGGGGAGCGAACAGGAUUAGAUACCCCGGUAGUCCACGCCGUAAACGGUGGGUACUAGGUGUGGGUUUCCUUCCUUGGGAUCCGUGCCGUAGCUAACGCAUUAAGUACCCCGCCUGGGGAGUACGGCCGCAAGGCUAAAACUCAAAGGAAUUGACGGGGGCCCGCACAAGCGGCGGAGCAUGUGGAUUAAUUCGAUGCAACGCGAAGAACCUUACCUGGGUUUGACAUGCACAGGACGCCGGCAGAGAUGUCGGUUCCCUUGUGGCCUGUGUGCAGGUGGUGCAUGGCUGUCGUCAGCUCGUGUCGUGAGAUGUUGGGUUAAGUCCCGCAACGAGCGCAACCCUUGUCUCAUGUUGCCAGCAUAAUGGUGGGGACUCGUGAGAGACUGCCGGGGUCAACUCGGAGGAAGGUGGGGAUGACGUCAAGUCAUCAUGCCCCUUAUGUCCAGGGCUUCACACAUGCUACAAUGGCCGGUACAAAGGGCUGCGAUGCCGCGAGGCUUAGCGAAUCCUUUAAAGCCGGUCUCAGUUCGGAUCGGGGUCUGCAACUCGACCCCGUGAAGUCGGAGUCGCUAGUAAUCGCAGAUCAGCAACGCCGCGGUGAAUACGUUCCCGGG